rnacentral:lncRNA from 10 species
ACACUCCCUUUUCUCGGGUGUGUACUUUUUGCUUUGUGAUACAUCUCUGCACUUUCAGUAUUUUCCAACUCAUCCUUAAAUUCCUUCUCACAACAGUGUCAAGAGCCUGGACGCCAGCCAGGAUUGAGGUCCUACGGGUGUUUGGGGACCUCCCCAAGCCCACGAGUAUCAAUGGCAGUAUCAAUUGUCUGUGACAGUGAUUAAGGAGCAAAACACUUGGGCUGACUCAAUGGACACCCACUGGUUGCUCCCCAGCCCUACUCCUCUCAAGGCAGUGGACAAGGCUCACGUGUUAGAAAGUGAAGGAACCCACAAGACUCCCAGAAGGUGAAGUUAAGAGCUCCCAGACUCAUAAGGUUAUUAGAACAGCAAACUGGCACCCCAAAGAACUUUACGGAGACUUGCAACCUAUCAACAAGUUGGAUGAGGGAUUAAAAGCCUUCAACAACCAACAACCCCAAGCAUCAAACUGAAGGAAACAUUCUAACCUUCACAGACAGACUGGAGGCUGGAUGGGGACCUGGCUGAAGACAUCUGGAGAAUGAAAGUUAAGUACCAGCUUGCAUUUUUGUGCCCCUAGAUUAUUUUUGCAUUUUAAAAUAAGAAGCAUCAAAUUGCGUGUCUCUGUGUAAAAGUUCUAGCAAUUUGUUUUAAGGUGAACUUAUUUUGGCUUAGGGACUACAAAAAGAGAAGGUAAUUCCUAGGGAAGGAAGAAG